AUCUGUUGGAAGGUCAGGUUAGAAUCAAAGGCAUCCUUGAGGAUGGUCAAGAUGCAGAUAUGGUGGAAGAAGAUAGGAAGCUUACAGCUCUGCUGGCUGUUGAGGGAGCAAGGACCUCUCUUCUUGGUUUAUAUGCAGCAAUCUUUAUGCUCAUAGCAUUUUGGAGAUUAAGUUUGAACUAGCAUGGCUUAUGCAGGAAAAGGUUCUUGA
rnacentral:misc_RNA from 1 species